rnacentral:tRNA from 1 species
GGAGAGGUGGCCGAGUGGACGAAGGCGCUCGACUCGAAAUCGAGUAUCCCGCUAACCCCGGGAUCGUGGGUUCGAAUCCCACCCUCUCCGCCA